AAUGAACGCUGGCGGCAUGCCUUACACAUGCAAGUCGAACGGCAGCAUGACCUAGCUUGCUAGGUUGAUGGCGAGUGGCGAACGGGUGAGUAAUGCAUCGGAACGUGCCUUUUAGUGGGGGAUAACGUAGCGAAAGUUACGCUAAUACCGCAUAUUCUCUGAGGAGGAAAGCAGGGGACCUUCGGGCCUUGCGCUAGAAGAGCGGCCGAUGUCGGAUUAGCUAGUUGGUGAGGUAAAGGCUCACCAAGGCAACGAUCCGUAGCGGGUCUGAGAGGAUGAUACGCCACACUGGGACUGAGACACGGCCCAGACUCCUACGGGAGGCAGCAGUGGGGAAUUUUGGACAAUGGGCGCAAGCCUGAUCCAGCCAUGCCGCGUGAGUGAAGAAGGCCUUCGGGUUGUAAAGCUCUUUCGGCUGGGAAGAAAUCGCACCCUCUAAUACAGGGUGUGGAUGACGGUACCAGCAUAAGAAGCACCGGCUAACUACGUG
rnacentral:rRNA from 1 species